rnacentral:misc_RNA from 1 species
AAGUCGUAACAAGGUAUCCGUAGGUGAACCUGCGGAUGGAUCAUUAACAAAAAAGUGCUUCAAUAGAAAUUAUGGUGAACCUUUGUCGUCUGGGGAACGAUUAAGAUUCAUUCUUCUUGUUGAGCACUAUAAUAUUUUUAUUAGGCGCCGUUUGGAAACGUUCGGCGUAAUUUUCCCCCUUCUUGGAGUCUGAUAAAGGAUAGUGGAGUGGAUUAUCUACGAAGCUACUCUUAGUGCUCUGGGGAAGAAACAUAAUGUAUUUAUCAUACAAUGCAGGUUGUAUUGUAUAGUAAGUACAUUCCUGGCUCUUUACAGAGUCAACACUAUAUAUGUUGUUGGCAUAUUAAUACCAGCAAUAGUUUAUCUGUCAUAGCGACUGAUUGUUUUUUUGAAUUAUCAAUUCAAUACAACUGUUAGCAACGGAUCACUCGGCUCUU